UCAUCUUUCUUUUGUAUUGAUUGAACUAUGUGUGUGGUCACAAGUUUACUCUCAUCAAAUUUCUAUUUUCAGUGAUCAUGUUACUCUAAGCUCAGUCGUAUCUUAAAAGGAAAUGGAACACUUGUUGGAUAUUUUCUAUUGGUGGUGCAUACUUUUGCUUAUGUUAUAACCUGAUAAUCUUGACCUGACUCGGUGAACAUGUAUUUUCAUCUCUACUUUGUCUUAUCCUUCCACUGAAGUCAUUGUUUGAAGACUUGUCUGGCUUUUAGUUCUGAGAGUUCUAGUUAUCUCACUCAAAUGGGUGCUCAGUAUCAUCAUGUUAUCUGAUUCAAAUCGAUGCUCAGUACUAUCAUGUUAUCUACUUUGGUUAUUGAUAAUUUGAAUUCAAAGUGUCGAUUACACACUUAACUAAAAAUUCUUGUAACUGUUUUGAUAAUUGUUGGGUGCAUUCAUGUCUUGUAUCAUAUACAUUGCUGGGCGCUUACUGCUCGUUAUGCUUUGCCAGGGUGAUGCUGAUGGCUCCCUGGACAGGCUGUGGCAGAAGAGGAAGGCUGAGAUCAAGCAGCUCUAGAUGUUGCUACUAGUUUUACCUGGAACUUGUUUCCUUCCCAUGUCUACCUAGCUCUUGGAUGUCUGUGGUUAGUUUCAGUUGCUACUAUGGAAGCUAAGACUUGAUGUCACUAGGCCUGGUUUCUUGUGAACAUGUUUUGAGUUUAAUCUGUGUUGAAUGCUUGAUAUGUGUACCUUAUCUCGUUGCUUAAUGUCAUACUGAUGAUUUGGCCCUUACUUUACUAGCAAAUUAUGGCCAUACUGAUGAUUUGGCCCUUACUUUACUAGCAACUUUAUUCGUACUUCAAAAUGCAUGUACUCUGCAGCACAAGUAAGCGCACAUUUUGCUAUGCAAAAGACAUCAGACGCUGCACUUAGGCCUAUCUUAUUCCAUCACACUAUUUCUAUUAUUCUGGCUGACGAUUAAUGCUGCAAUUAUUAAUACGGAUACGGGCUUAGUUAAUUUGCUGGUAAACGGCUUGCGAAGAAACUCUCGUGCUAUCUUGCCGUUUGCUCCUUCCGGGUAGAAGCCACCAGGGAUCAUGCUCGUUGCCGGUGGGGUAGAGGAUCCUGAGCAACUCGGCCGGUGUCCGGGCGUAGGAGAGGGUGUCGCUGUCGGCGGAGAGCACGUAGGUGCAGAUCUUGCCCUCUGCGCUGAGCUCGGGCGGCACGGUGAGCCCCUCGUCCUUGAGGAUCUUUGGCCUAGGGAAAAGUAACCCACCCACCGUGUUCUGGAUGGCCCUGCAACCAAAGUGAAGCUAGAUUGAGAGCAGGUGAAAACGGCAGUGUGGCUUCGUAAUUUCCCCCCGGAAAUUGCUGCCAUGAACUUUGAUUGUAUCUCUAUUUUGUUAGCUAAUAUAAAUACUCUUUCCCCGCAAAAAAAAAA
rnacentral:lncRNA from 1 species